rnacentral:rRNA from 1 species
AUUGAACGCUGACGGCAGGCCUAACACAUGCAAGUCGAACGAGAACGGGUUAUAGCUUGCUAUAAUUGUCAGCUAAGUGGCGCACGGGUGAGUAAUGUAUAGGUAAUAUGCCUCUUACUAAGGGAUAACAAAUGGAAACGUUUGCUAAUACCUUAUACUCCUUAUUAACAUAAGUUAAUAAGGGAAAGAUUUAUUGGUAAGAGAUUAGCCUGUAUUGUAUCAGUUAGUUGGUGGGGUAAUGGCUUACCAAGACUAUGACACAUAACUGGUUUGAGAGGACGAUCAGUCACACUGGAACUGAGACACGGUCCAGACUCCUACGGGAGGCAGCAGUGGGGAAUAUUGCACAAUGGACGAAAGUCUGAUGCAGCAACGCCGCGUGGAGGAUGACACAUUUCGGUGCGUAAACUCCUUUUAUAUGAGAAGAUAAUGACGGUAUUAUAUGAAUAAGCACCGGCUAACUCCGUGCCAGCAGCCGCGGUAA